AACUAUGGCCAUACCACCCUGAACACAUCCUGUCUUGUCUCAUCUCAGAAGCCAAGUAGGGUCAGGCCUGGUUAGUACUUGGAUGGGAAAAACACUGACACAUGCAUUCCAGGGCCAGGAAACAUAACUU
rnacentral:rRNA from 1 species